rnacentral:rRNA from 1 species
UACGUAGGCAGCGAGCGUUGUUCGGAGUUACUGGGCGUAAAGGGUGUGUAGGCGGUUCUUUAAGUUUGGUGUGAAAUCUCCCGGCUCAACCGGGAGGGUGCGCCGAAUACUGAGGGACUAGAGUGCGGGAGAGGAAAGUGGAAUUCCUGGUGUAGCGGUGAAAUGCGCAGAUAUCAGGAGGAACACCAAUUGCGAAGGCAGCUCGCUGGAACGUAACUGACGCUGAGACGCGAAAGCGUGGGGAGCAAACAGG